AGUGAACGCUGGCGGCGUGCUAAACACAUGCAAGUCGAACGGAUCAAAGUAGCUUGCUAUUUUGGUUAGUGGCGCACGGGUGAGUAAUGUAUAGCUAACCUGCCCUUUAGUGGGGGACAACAGUUGGAAACGACUGCUAAUACCCCAUACUCCUUCUUAUCAUAAGGUAGGAUGGGAAAGAUUUAUUGCUAAAGGAUGGGGCUUUAUGGUAUCAGCUAGUUGGUGGGGUAACGGCCUACCAAGGCUAUGACGCCUACCUGGUCUGAGAGGAUGAUCAGGCACACUGGAACUGAGACACGGUCCAGACUCCUACGGGAGGCAGCAGUGGGGAAUAUUGCACAAUGGAGGAAACUCUGAUGCAGCAACGCCGCGUGGAGGAUGACGCAUUUCGGUGUGUAAACUCCUUUUAUAAGGGAAGAUAAUGACGGUACCUUAUGAAUAAGCACCGGCUAACUCCGUGCCAGCAGCCGCAGUAA
rnacentral:rRNA from 1 species